rnacentral:rRNA from 1 species
AUUGAACGCUGGCGGCAGGCUUAACACAUGCAAGUCGAGCGGGGAAAGGUAGCUUGCUACCUGACCUAGCGGCGGACGGGUGAGUAAUGCUUAGGAAUCUGCCUAUUAGUGGGGGACAACAUUCCGAAAGGAAUGCUAAUACCGCAUACGCCCUACGGGGGAAAGCAGGGGAUCUUCGGACCUUGCGCUAAUAGAUGAGCCUAAGUCAGAUUAGCUAGUUGAUGGGGUAAAGGCCUACCAAGGCGACGAUCUGUAGCGGGUCUGAAAGGAUGAUCCGCCACACUGGGACUGAGACACGGCCCAGACUCCUACGGGAGGCAGCAGUGGGGAAUAUUGGACAAUGGGCGAAAGCCUGAUCCAGCCAUGCCGCGUGUGUGAAGAAGGCCUUUUGGUUGUAAAGCACUUUAAGCGAGGAGGAGGCUACUUGGAUUAAUACUCUAGGAUAGUGGACGUUACUCGCAGAAUAAGCACCGGCUAACUCUGUGCCAGCCGCCGCGGUAAUAC